UGUACACUAUGCAUACUCGAGCGGCAACACGGGGGCCACCCUGGUUCCGAGCGGCGUAGGGGUGAGUAAUGCAUCGGAACGUGUCCUCUUGUGGGGGAUAACCUUUCGAAAGACUGGCUAAUACCGCAUGAGAUCGAGAGAUGAAAGCAGGGGACCCGCAAGGGCCUUGCGCGAGAGGAGCGGCCGAUGCCCGAUUAGCUAGUUGGCGGGGUAAAAGCCCACCAAGGCGACGAUCGGUAGCUGGUCUGAGAGGACCACCAGCCACACUGGGACUGAGACACGGCCCAAACUCCUACUGGAGGCAGCAGUGGGGAAUUUUGGACAAUGGGGGCAACCCUGAUCCAGCCAUGUCGUGUGUGUGAAAAAAGCCUUCUGGUUGUAAACCACUUUCCGGACGGGAACGAAAUCGCCGCGAUCUAAUAACUCGC
rnacentral:rRNA from 1 species